UACGAAGGGGGCUAGCGUUGCUCGGAAUCACUGGGCGUAAAGGGCGCGUAGGCGGCCGAUCAAGUCGGGGGUGAAAGCCUGUGGCUCAACCACAGAAUUGCCUUCGAUACUGUUUGGCUAGAGACCGGAAGAGGUUAGUGGAACUGCGAGUGUAGAGGUGAAAUUCGUAGAUAUUCGCAAGAACACCAGUGGCGAAGGCGGCUAACUGGUCCGGUUCUGACGCUGAGGCGCGAAAGCGCGGGGAGCAAACAGG
rnacentral:rRNA from 1 species